UUCCGGUUGAUCCUGCCGGACCCGACUGCUAUUUGGGUGAGAAUAAGCCAUGCGAGUUGAAUGGAAUACCUAAAUUUUCCAUGGCAAACUGCUCAGUAACACAUGAUCAACUUACCCUAUAGAGAAAAAUAACCUCGGGAAACUGAGGAUAAUGUUUCAUAGUUGAAAAGGCUUGGAAAAGUUUUUCAAUCAAAAGGAUAAAAAAAAUGGUUUCUAUCCGCUAUAGGAUAGGAUCGUGCUCGAUUAUGGUUGUUGGUGAGGUAAUGGCUCACCAAGCCGAUAAUCGAUAGGGGCCGUGAGAGCGGGAGCCCCGAGAUGGGUACUGAGACAACGACCCAGGCCUUACGAGGCGCAGCAGGCGCGAAACCUCCGCAAUACACGAAAGUGUGACGGGGUUACCCAAAGUGUUCAGUUUUGAACUGUGGUAGGUGAGUAAUGUCCCCUACUAGAAAGGAGAGGGCAAGGCUGGUGCCAGCCGCCGCGGUAAAACCAGCUCUUCAAGUGGUCGGGAUAAUUAUUGGGCUUAAAGUGUCCGUAGCCGGUUUAGUAAGUUCCUGGUAAAAUCGGGUAGCUUAACUAUCUGUAUGCCAGGAAUACUGCUAAACUAGAGGGCGGGAGAGGUCUGAGGUACUACAGGGGUAGGGGUGAAAUCUUAUAAUCCUUGUAGGACCACCAGUGGCGAAGGCGUCAGACUGGAACGUGCCUGACGGUGAGGGACGAAAGCCAGGGGAGCGAACCGGAUUAGAUACCCGGGUAGUCCUGGCCGUAAACGAUGCAUACUAGGUGAUGGCAUGGCCAUGAGCCGUGUCAGUGCCGUAGGGAAACCGUUAAGUAUGCCGCCUGGGAAGUACGGUCGCAAGGCUAAAACUUAAAGGAAUUGGCGGGGGAGCACCACAAGGGGUGAAGCCUGCGGUUCAAUUGGAUUCAACGCCGGGAAUCACUAGUGCGGC
rnacentral:rRNA from 1 species